rnacentral:lncRNA from 1 species
ACACAAAGUGGAGUUGAAGUAGAUCUGAGAGGUGAGCGUGUCCCAGCCACGAAGAAGAACUCGGAGUGUUGGAUCAUGGAAGAAGAGACGUCCAUCCCUGAUGCUUGCUUUCCCUUUGACCUGCUAAGAAGCAGUUUUUGUAUUUGUUUCUCCCUUGUCCUGCUAAGAAGCAGUUUGCAUUUUGAAUUUAAAAAUUGAGGAUUAUGGGUAUACACCCUACUCCCCCCUCUGGUGACAUGUGCAGUGCUCUGCACGAACAUGUUAAGUAGC